UGAUAAAGUUUCAGUCCAAUUGUUGAUAAGUCCAGGAUAGUGCUCGUGUAUACGUUUCUCUAUGCAAAAGCACUCAGCUUUCAUUUGGUUACCUUCCACCAAGUUUGUACUUGAUUUUCCCCCUGCAUGUUUGAUUAAUUUUGUUAGGCGGUGGAAGUAAUUACUUACUUUUCUAGCUAGAUUGUUGAACUAUGCAUUUCUAAUUACUCUAGUUUUUCCUGUUUCUCUAAACGACUUGUUAUGUUGGUGCAGGUACUCAAUCUUGCUUAUACAACUACUUUGUCAUCAAGCACAUACAACUCAGCCGCUCUAUAAAGAGCGCUCUACAAAGAGUGAAGUAAGCAUUGAAAAUUAAUUUUAAACCACGUUGGACCACUAAUAUUUUAUGGCAUGAUACAAUGUAAUAUUAGAUGACAACUUUUCUUGAUGUAGUUGCAGGGUAUGGCUACUAAAUCCGAAGGCGUAAAUAGAGCAACUUGAGCUUAUCAACGAAUAUAUAUUAUAUGUUAUUUUUUACCUCCCCCCU
rnacentral:lncRNA from 1 species